rnacentral:lncRNA from 1 species
AUGGCUCAGUUGCCAAGGAUUCAAGAUGACAAAGAUUAUUUAAGAGCUGCUGAACCUUCUUAAAGAGAAGCCAACGAGUAUCACGAGGAUGAGUGAGCAACAAGUUACGACCUGGAUCGAGCAAAAAAAGAGAUAGAAGUGACGUUUUUUUAAAGAGUUCAUGAGAUUUAUCUUAAUGUUCAAAUGAAGAAGAGGAUCGAAUAUCUCCACCU